AUUGAACGCUGGCGGCAUGCCUUACACAUGCAAGUCGAACGGUAACAGGCCGCAAGGUGCUGACGAGUGGCGAACGGGUGAGUAAUGCAUCGGAACGUGCCCAGUAGUGGGGGGUAGCCCGGCGAAAGCCGGAUUAAUACCGCAUACGACCUACGGGUGAAAGCGGGGGACCGAAAGGCCUCGCGCUAUUGGAGCGGCCGAUGUCAGAUUAGGUAGUUGGUGGGGUAAAGGCCUACCAAGCCUACGAUCUGUAGCUGGUCUGAGAGGACGACCAGCCACACGUGAACUGAGACACGGCCCAGACUCCUACGGGAGGCAGCAGUGGGGAAUUUUGGACAAUGGGCGCAAGCCUGAUCCAGCCAUGCCGCGUGCGGGAAGAAGGCCUUCGGGUUGUAAACCGCUUUUGUCAGGGAAGAAAUCUUCUGGGUUAAUACCUCGGGAGGAUGACGGUACCUGAAGAAUAAGCACCGGCUAACUACGUGCCAGCAGCCGCGGUAAUAC
rnacentral:rRNA from 1 species